UCGAGAAUCUUCCACAAUGGACGAAAGUCUGAUGGAGCGACGCCGCGUGAUGGAUGAAGUCCCUCUGGGACGUAAACAUCUUUUAUGAGGGAAGAAAUUAUUGACGGUACCUCAUGAAUAAGGAGCUUCUAAUCUCGUGCCAGCAGAAGCGGUAAUACGAGAGCUCCAAGCGUUAUCCGGAAUUACUGGGCGUAAAGGGUGUGUAGGUUGCAUGUUUAGUCGUAUGUUAAAUUUCUUUGCUUAACAAAGAACAAGCAUACGAAACGGGCAAGCUAGAGUUUGGGAGAGGUGCGUAGAACUCAUGGUGUAGGGGUGAAAUCCAUUGAUAUCAUGGGGAAUACCAAAAGCGAAGGCAGCGCACUGGCCCAACACUGACACUGAAACACGAAAGCGUAGGUAG
rnacentral:rRNA from 1 species